AUCCAACUGACGAAUCCCAAAUAGGACGGAACACUCAUCCUGGAU
rnacentral:hammerhead_ribozyme from 1 species